AACACAUGCAAGUCGAGCGGUAAGGCCCUUCGGGGUACACGAGCGGCGAACGGGUGAGUAACACGUGGGUGAUCUGCCCUGCACUUCGGGAUAAGCCUGGGAAACUGGGUCUAAUACCGGAUAUGACCAAAGGCUGCAUGGUUUUUGGUGGAAAGGUUUACUGGUGCAGGAUGGGCCCGCGGCCUAUCAGCUUGUUGGUGGGGUAAUGGCCUACCAAGGCGACGACGGGUAGCCGACCUGAGAGGGUGACCGGCCACACUGGGACUGAGACACGGCCCAGACUCCUACGGGAGGCAGCAGUGGGGAAUAUUGCACAAUGGGCGAAAGCCUGAUGCAGCGACGCCGCGUGAGGGAUGACGGCCUUCGGGUUGUAAACCUCUUUCAGCAGGGACGAAGCGAAAGUGACGGUACCUGCAGAAGAAGCACCGGCCAACUACGUGCCAGCAGCCGCGGUAAUACGUAGGGUGCAAGCGUUGUCCGGAAUUACUGGGCGUAAAGAGCUCGUAGGCGGUUUGUCGCGUCGUCUGUGAAAACUCGAGGCUCAACCUCGAGCUUGCAGGCGAUACGGGCAGACUUGAGUACUGCAGGGGAGACUGGAAUUCCUGGUGUAGCGGUGAAAUGCGCAGAUAUCAGGAGGAACACCGGUGGCGAAGGCGGGUCUCUGGGCAGUAACUGACGCUGAGGAGCG
rnacentral:rRNA from 1 species